GGUGGCUCAGUGGUAGACCGCUUGCCUUGCAUGCAUGAGACCCUGGGUUCGAUUCCCCAGCACCA
rnacentral:tRNA from 1 species